rnacentral:tRNA from 1 species
GUUCUGUGGCUUAGUUGGUUAAAGCGCCGGACGAUAAAUACGGAGACGAGGGUUCGAAUCCCACCGAAAACA